GUACUUGCUUUGGCGGCACAUACACUAAAAUUGGAAUGAUACAGAAAAAAAUUAGCAUGGACCCUGAGCAAGAAUGACAUGCAAAUUCAUCAAGUAGCCCCCCCCUUCU
ensembl:snRNA U6 U6 spliceosomal RNA